rnacentral:rRNA from 1 species
AUACGUAGGGUGCGAGCGUUAAUCGGAAUUACUGGGCGUAAAGCGUGCGCAGGCGGUGAUGUAAGACAGGUGUGAAAUCCCCGGGCUUAACCUGGGAACUGCAUUUGUGACUGCAUUGCUGGAGUGCGGCAGAGGGGGAUGGAAUUCCGCGUGUAGCAGUGAAAUGCGUAGAUAUGCGGAGGAACACCGAUGGCGAAGGCAAUCCCCUGGGCCUGCACUGACGCUCAUGCACGAAAGCGUGGGGAGCAAACA